rnacentral:snoRNA from 1 species
CUAACCAAAUCCACAGAAUCAUUUCUAUAGUUUACGUGAGUGUAGCAACCAACAGCGACUGUUGUCCAAAUACUAAUCCCGACAAAAGGUCCUCUUCUGAGUUACUUCAUUGUAGCCACAGAUUCGCAACCCCGGCUGAUGAGUAUCAGCCUCGAUGUCCCGGAGUGAGGCCUUAUUACGUGUGCUUCGGCGUGCGUGGCGAUGAUCUUCAGCCAACUGGAUGUCGGGCUUCGGCCGGUCUGGAAGGCAGGACGUUGAGUGCAAUCUGACGGGU